GUCAGGCAGCAUCCGAGGAGCAGGAGAGUCAACGUUUCGGGAUGAAGGGCUUAAGCAUCCGAGGAGCACGCGAGUCGAUAUUCCUGAUGAAGUGAGCUGCAGCCAGCUCAGUCUGGCCUUGAACUGGACUACUGACUGCUUGCUUCUGUGAGCAAAAAUAUACACAAAUUACACCAAAGACACCACCCCAACCUCCACUUGAUGACAAUGUGAUAUACUUGGGAUUUUCCAAACAGAGCCCUUUAGGUGCUCUGUGAUUAGAUACCAAUUUCAUCAAGACGCCAUGCUGCUGAUUGUAAGGAGGCGCAUGUGAGCGGUUUGGGGUAUUGUCUUUCCACCUGUUUCUAACCUAACUUAACUUUCUUUUAUACAAUUGAUGUUGUAACAUAUCUUCCCUUAAUAAAGGGAAGCUUGAGGUCUGUGUUUGGGAUUCAAAGUUAAAAUAUCAGAAUCGCGCUUUGUAUAGUCCAGGGAAGUCCAUAUUUUCGAAUGGAGGAGUACGAUUACAUUCUUUUGUUAUUUCAAGGGGACAAUGAGAGAAUUUCAGAAAGGUAUACUUUGGCACAACAUUAAGCAUGAAUUUUUUAGAAAAUCAACUUCAAAAUUUAUUUAAAGUAUCGUAUGAUUUUAUAAGAAAAAGACAUGACUAUUAAAAGGCAGAGCUAGCCAAUAAGACCUUGUUUUGCCUUUUUGCUUAAACAAAGCUAGAGGCAGAUAGAUUAGCUCACAGGUUGGUUAUUGGUCAAAGCUAAGGAGUUGGCUUUAACCAACUUUGGUCAUGCAUUUGCCUUUAGUGGAGCACUGGCUGAGCUGGCCUUGGUAGAAUUCGUGUGAAAGUUGGAGAUGGUUUCGCUUUGAGCCAGGACUCCCUUCCUGACCCAUUGAUAAAUAAGCGUUUAGGGAGGGAGGAGGAGGAAACAAAGGAUGUGUGUGUUUUUGGCUAACUGCAGUGUCUUGCAUUCACUUGUGCACACUCUCACAACUGCCCACGUAGUUUUCACAGCUUACUGAAUAAAGAACGAUACAGCACAGGAACAAGCCCUUCAGCCCUCCAAGCUUGUCCUGACAUACUUUCCCCUUGCAUACUAAAACUGUCUUCACGUACAGGAUCCAUAUCCCUCAAUUCCCUACUUAUUCAUGUAUUCGUCCAGGUGCAUCUUAAAUGCUUUUAUUGUGUUGCUUCCACCACUACCCCUGGCAAUGUGUUUCAGCACUCCCCAUCCUUUUGUGUGAAAAACAUACCUCGCAUAUCUCAUUUAAACUCUUCCCUCCCCCC